ensembl:lncRNA
AUAGCUUAUAUUUUGCUGGCAAAAUAUGUAAUGUUAAUGCAGCAAAUACCAUAUUUUGAAUUGUCACUCUCUGUUGUCCUGAUGGUCUUUGGCAAUAAGAAUGGCCCUAUUUUUUUAGGCAGCUUAUUUCUGUUUACAUGACAGUGGCAUGAACAAAUAUCUACUUACAUUGCAACAAACUACUGUACUUCUACUGCAACAGCUUACUGUUCUGUAAACUUAAAGUAUUGGCAAUGGCAACUGUUUACAUCUUUCAGCUAUUGUACUAUCUGUUAUGUACUAUUGUUCAUUCUACAUUGCCUCAAUGCAUUAUUUUUUUUAAAUGAGUGCUCCAAUUUUUGUAUUUACCUACCAAUGUCUUUUAUAACAUAUCUGCCUAUAGACGUUCUAACACACCGAUAUAGACAUAUAUUCUUUGUUAUAAUGGUCUUGAAUCUACUGUAUGUCUGCCUAUAUUUUCUGAAGAAAUCCACAAACUACUAUAUAUGAAGCCAACAUGAUGCAAAGGAUGUAGAAUAUGAAAAAUGUCAUCCCACCUGUAGCAAAGUCCACAAAAUUGCUUUAAUAUAAGUUACAAAAUAUAUUUUGGAAAGGCAAUUAAUGUUCUAUUUGUCAUUUUAGAUACUCUUACUGUGUUCUGUUUCAUUCCAUCUAGUUUUUAUUUUCUUCCAAAAUCACUUAUUUGUAAAAGAAGAAAAAUGCUCUGACAACUCUACCCAUGAGGGAGCGUGCAUAAGCACCAAGGCUUUACUUUUGAAGAAUUUUGCCACAACAAAAAAUCACUGGGAAGAAGAAAAAAAGAAAGAGAUUGUCAGUGAAAGUAAGACCGGUAUUUUGUGUAGUCCAAGUUUUUUUUUUUUUUUUGCGGCAGCUCUUACAAAAUGUCUACAAUACGUAGAGGCCUUAGCUCAAAGUGCUUUUUUUGUUACAUCAAUUUUAUGUUGUAUGAGCCGUCUUACCUCUGUCAGUACAAUCUUGUUAAAGAAUGAUAAAUAUACACUACCGUUCAAAAUUUGGGGUCACUUCAAAAUAUCCUUGUUUUCAAAAGAAAAGCAUUUUUUGUCGAUUUAAAAUAACAAAUUGAACAGAAAUACAGUGUAGACAUUGCUAAAGUUGUAAAUGAAUAUUCUAGCUUGUAAUGGCUUAUUUUCAAUGGAAUAUCUAAAUAGGUGUGCAGAGGCCCAUUAUCAUCAACCAUCAGUCCUGUUUUCCAGUGGCACAAUGUGUUUGCUAAUCCAAGUUUAUCAUUUUAAAAUGCUAAUUGGUCAUUAGAAAACUAUUUGCAAGUAGUUUAGUAUCUGGAGCAUCAGCAAUUGUGGGUUUGAUUACAGGCUCAAAAUGAGACUAAGCCCCGAAUAUAUUGUGAUCCUAGCAAGGCAUCUGCGUCACUCUGUUCUUGUUCUGAAAAAAAACUCAACAUCUUGUACAACGUUGUGUUGCGCAAACGGUCUCUAACCAGAAUAGAAAGCAGAAUGACUGGCCUCAGUGUGCAGCUGAGCAAGAGGACAAAUGCAUUAGAGUGUCUAGUUUGAGAAACAGACGCCUUACAGGUCCUCAACUGUCCUCAACUUCAUUAAAUAGCUAGGUACCCGCAAAACACCUGUCUCAAUGUUAACAGUGAAGAACCAACUCUAGGAUGCUGGCCUUCUAGGAAUAGCUGCAAAGAAAAAGCCGUAUCUCAGGCUGACAAAUAAAAAGAAAAGAUUAAGAUGGGAAAAAUAACACAGACACUGGACAGAGGAAGAUAGGACAAAAGUGUUAUGGACAGACACAUCUUAGUUUGAGGUGUUCGGAUCAAAAGCGUGACACCAUCUGUCAUUCAUGGUGGAGGCAAUGUGAUGGUCUGGGGGUGCUUUGGUGGUGCUAAAGUGGGAGAUUUGUACAGGCUAAAAGAGAUCUUGAAGAAUGAAGGCUAUCAUUCCAUUUUCCAACGCCAUGCCGUACCCUGUGGACGGUGCUUGACCAAGCUGUUGUUGCAGCAGCUUGACCGUAUGGUACGUAAGAAGUGCACAACAAAAGUGACCAACUUGUGGGUGGUGUUUCAGGAAGCAUGGGUUGAAAUCUCGUCAGAUUACCUCAACAAAUUGAAAACUAGAAUGCCAAUGGUCUGCAAGGCUGUAAUAGCUACAAAUGAAGAAUUAUUUGAUGAAUGCUUGAAGGACACUAUUGUUAUUUCAGUCACUAUAACUUUGUCACUAUAUUUCCUAUUAUUUUUGCUGUAUUUCCUAUUCAAACUCAUUUCAUUUAUGUUUUCAUGGAAAACAAGGACAUUUCUAAGUGACCUCAAAUUUCUGAACAGUUGUGUAAAUUUGAAGCAUCAUGUGUAAAUAUUUUUGAACUUAUAUGAGCCUAUAUAAAAACAAAGAAGAAGAUCUUAUUUACAGACUCCACACUCCUAGAUGAAGAGCAUACUUGAAGCGGAAUAAGCAACGCUUAUGUUUGUGGUGCAUUUUUAUACUUACCAAAACUGUGCUGGAUUUCUAUUUUUCUUUGUAUAUGUAAAAAAAAAAUGUUUUGUGAAAAUAACCUGUUUUUUUUAUAAUUCUAAAAAAACUAAACUGGUCAAAUGGAAGGGUUGCUGUGUGUAUCUGUAUAUGUAAUAUAUAUGGAUCAAUGGUGUUUAUUGUGGCACUAUAUUGAAAUGGGUUAUUAAUGUGUGUAGAUACACACUGAUUUUGUAAUGAUUUAUCAUGUGGGGUCUCAGGGAUAAGUCUUCUUUGUAUUUUCUUCAAAUGCAUCAUGUUUUUAUCAACAACUUUAGGUGAUGUUACAAAUUAAAAUACCUGAAGAGAAUAUUGAGGUAUUACCAAAAUCAAUCUUUCUACUGAAGUCUGUUUCUAAUAGCCUUGACAUGAAAUGAAGAUACUGUGCUGUAAAUAGCAAAAUAUCUGUUAAUAUGGCAUUGGCUUUCCACUAUUAAA